rnacentral:lncRNA from 1 species
UACAUUGUUUGCAUUCUUUUUUAAAUUUCUGGGUGAAAAUAUUGUAUUUGCAGCUUUGUUUAUUUCUCUUCACUGAUUUGACUAAUUGUUGAGGAAUUUUCUGGUACCAAGUAUUCUUACCCCCACGCCAGUGAUCAAUAAUGAUGGCAGCCUUUUGAGUAGAGUGCAUAUGAUGAUGUGAAAACCUUGAAUGUAGGUACCGAAGUAGGAGAAGCAGGACACCAUCUGUAUCACGCAGCCCACCUUACCGAGCACGUCGGUAUAGCCCAAGCCCCAGCCCCAGCCCCAGCCNNNNNNNNNNNNNNNNNNNNACCUUACCGAGCACGUCGGUAUAGCCCAAGCCCCAGCCCCAGCCCCAGCCCAAGCCCCAGCCCAAGCCCCAGCCCAGUUCGCAACCGCUCACUUGCUCGUAAGGAUAGGCGCAUGUCAUUAUCUCCCAGCAGGAGUCCAUCUCGAUCCAGG